CCCCUAGAUGUUCUGGGCCGCACGCGCGCUACACUGAACAGUUCAACAAGUCUUAACCUUGGCCGAUAGGUCUGGGUAAUCUUUGAACGCUGUUCGUGAUUGGGAUAGACCUUUGCAAUUAUGGGUCUUCAACGAGGAAUUCCUAGUAAACGCAAGUCAUCAGCUUGCAUUGAUUACGUCCCUGCCCUUUGUACACACCGCCCGUCGCACCUACCGAUUGAAUGGUCCGGUGAAAUCUCGGGACGGCGGCUUGGUCGCUUGCGUCCGACUGCUGAAACUUGAUUAAACCAUAUCAUUUAGAGGAUGGUGAAGUCGUAACA
rnacentral:rRNA from 1 species